rnacentral:tRNA from 1 species
GCGGGAGUAGCUCAGUUGGUAGAGCACAAGCUUGCCAUGCUUGAUGUCGCGGGUUCGAAUCCCGUCUCCCGCUCCA